rnacentral:rRNA from 1 species
AUUGAACGCUGGCGGCAUGCCUUACACACGCAAGUCGAACGGCAGCGGGGGAGAAGCUUGCUUUUCCUGCCGGCGAGUGGCGAACGGGUGAGUAAUACAUCGGAACGUGCCCUGUAGUGGGGGAUAACUAGUCGAAAGAUUAGCUAAUACCGCAUACGACCUGAGGGUGAAAGCGGGGGACCGCAAGGCCUCAUGCUAUAGGAGCGGCCGAUGUCUGAUUAGCUAGUUGGUGGGGUAAAGGCCUACCAAGGCGACGAUCAGUAGCUGGUCUGAGAGGACGAUCAGCCACACUGGGACUGAGACACGGCCCAGACUCCUACGGGAGGCAGCAGUGGGGAAUUUUGGACAAUGGGCGAAAGCCUGAUCCAGCAAUGCCGCGUGUGUGAAGAAGGCCUCCGGGUUGUAAAGCACUUUUGUCCGGAAAGAAAUGGCUCUGGUUAAUACCUGGGGUCGAUGACGGUACCGGAAGAAUAAGGACCGGCUAACUACGUGCCAGCCGCCGCGGUAA